rnacentral:rRNA from 1 species
GACGAACGCUGGCGGCGUGCUUAACACAUGCAAGUCGAACGAAGUGGCGAACGGGUGAGUAACGCGUAAUCAACCUGCCCUUCAGAGGGGGACAACAGUUGGAAACGACUGCUAAUACCGCAUACUGAAGGAGGGGAUUGCGUCUGAUUAGCUAGUUGGAGGGGUAACGGCCCACCAAGGCGAUGAUCAGUAGCCAGUCUGAGAGGAUUGACGGCCAAAUUGGGAAUGAGAAACGGCCCCGACUUCUACGGGGUGCAGCAGUGGGGAAUCUUCCGCAAUGGACGAAAGUCUGACGGAGCAACGGCGCGUGAGUGAUGACGGCUUUCGGGUUGUAAAACUCUGUUAAUCGGGACGCGGUACCGGAAUAGAAAGCCACGGCUAACUCCGUGCCAGCAGCCGCGGUAAUUC